AACCACUAAAAAGGGUUUCUCAAACUUCUUUCACCCAAAUCUCAAUUCAAACUUUCCAAAAAAAAAGUUAAGGGUUUUAAAAUUUUGCAGUCCUUCAAUGUUUUAACGUUUAGGCUGCCACUCAAAGUAAAAACUUUUGUGAUGGUUUUAACUUCUUCACUUACUGUCACUCCAUUGCAACAGGAUAUUUUAGUAAGAGUCAAGAUGAUCAAACGAUUCUUCAAGAUUCGAACCUCUUCAGGUUCUACUUCUAGUUCUCCAUCACUAAGCUCUCCUUCAUGUCCCGUGGUUAAUAAUAAUUAAUAAUAAUGUCAAUUCUUCCCAAUUGUCAAAAAAAGAUAAUGUUCUUGAACCCGAUCCUGGUAAAAGAAAACAAAUAUGAGAAUAUCCUCCUAAUCUACGUGACUGAGUGAGAAGAUAUUACAUUGAAAAAGGGCCUUGUUGGCUUGGAGAGUUUAUUUUUCCAAAAACAAAUUUUGUUAUUUUGUAAAUAUACGUUGAAUAUUAAUACUUGUUCCUUAGUUCGGUUAUUAUGAUAUAUUGACUUGAAAUUGUAGUAGGAACUCAUACACUUCAAUUCCUAGAUCCGCAUCUACCGAUAUCAAUGAUAUGUGCCUAGAAUGUGUUGCUAGAUCUCUGCUCCAGAAAGCUAUACAUGCAACUAAGAAUACUUUUGAAUUUGAAUAUUUUGCAUCAGAAUUAUAUUUUA